GCUCCUAAGCCAUGUUUGACCGCUGCCGCUGCAUCUUGCACCGAGCGUCCUGGUCGAAAACCGUAUGAGUGCGGCUCAAAGACCGCCUCCCAUUCGGGUUCCAGAGCCAGUUUCACGAGGCAUUGCAUCACCCGAUCUUUCAUCGCGGGAAUUCCCAGAGGACGUUGCUUGCCGUUAGCUUUUGGGAUGAACACCCGUCGCACCGGCAGAGGCACGUAGUCCUUCAGGCUCAGACCGUCCUUGAACAAACGCACCCGAUCCCGAUCGGAUUUACUUACGACUCCGUCGAUU
rnacentral:misc_RNA from 1 species